rnacentral:rRNA from 1 species
AAAGAACCCCGGCGAGGGGAGUGAAAAAGAACCUGAAACCGUGUACGUACAAGCAGUGGGAGCACGCUUAGGCGUGUGACUGCGUACCUUUUGUAUAAUGGGUCAGCGACUUAUAUUCUGUAGCAAGGUUAACCGAAUAGGGGAGCCGAAGGGAAACCGAGUCUUAACUGGGCGUUAAGUUGCAGGGUAUAGACCCGAAACCCGGUGAUCUAGCCAUGGGCAGGUUGAAGGUUGGGUAACACUAACUGGAGGACCGAACCGACUAAUGUUGAAAAAUUAGCGGAUGACUUGUGGCUGGGGGUGAAAGGCCAAUCAAACCGGGAGAUAGCUGGUUCUCCCCGAAAGCUAUUUAGGUAGCGCCUCGUGAAUUCAUCUCCGGGGGUAGAGCACUGUUUCGGCAAGGGGGUCAUCCCGACUUACCAACCCGAUGCAAACUGCGAAUACCGGAGAAUGUUAUCACGGGAGACACACGGCGGGUGCUAACGUCCGUCGUGAAGAGGGAAACAACCCAGACCGCCAGCUAAGGUCCCAAAGUCAUGGUUAAGUGGGAAACGAUGUGGGAAGGCCCAGACAGCCAGGA